rnacentral:rRNA from 1 species
GCUUGGGUUGGAAACCGGGGCUUCUGCCUCGGAUUGUGGCCUUUAGACAUACUACCAACGGCGGCGCGAGCGUAAGCCUCUUGGAACAGAGCGUCUACGUGGGUGAGAAUCCUGUGUUUCGCUUGAUGCCCGCCGUGCACGGUACUUGCUCUCAGAGUCACGCUCCUCGGAAUUGGAGCGUAAAUUGGGUGGUAAAUUUCAUCUAAAGCUAAAUACAGGCUCGAGACCGAUAGCAAACAAGUACCAUGAGGGAAAGAUGAAAAGGACUUUGAAAAGAGAGUUAAAAGUGCUKGAAAUCGCUGAACUGGAAGCGAAUGGAACUAGUGCUCUGGUUGAGAUUGCUGCAAGUGGCUGCGACAUCUGGGCUCUGGAACGCAAGUCCUUUGUCUGGUUUGAAGUAGUUGCUUGUAAUGUGUCUCAGCUUGAACAUCAGCGUCUAUGCAUACGUGAGGAUGGCCCUUAGCUCAUGCUGUGUUGCUGUGGCGAUACUCUUGUGCUUUUGGGGAUUCAGGUGUGUGUGGAUUGUUGAUCAAUUAGUUCCAUUCGACCCGUCUUGAAACACGGACCAAGGAGUCUAGCACUUGUGCAAGUUCUCAGGUGUCAAACCUCUGUGCGCAAUGAAGGUGACUGCUGGGAUUUUUUGCACCAGCAACCGACCAAUCAAUUGGGAGAAGUUUGAGUAAGAGCAUGUGUGUUAGGACCCGAAAGAUGGUGAACUAU